GUUGAGGUUUAGUGAAUGAUUUGUCCCAAAUACAAUGCUUUUAGUUUUGGAAAUAUUUAGGACUAACUCAUUCCUUGCCACCUAUUCUGAAACUAACUUAACUCAAAGCCGUAAAGACUGAAAAAAGUAAGGGGCCUAAACAGCUAUGAUAACUCUUUAUUUUACAGAGAAACUGCUCCUGAGCCUGAAGGUGAUUCUAAGAGGAGCAGCAUCAGCAUCAGAAGACAGAACCGCACCUUCCUGUUACUCCUCCUCAGUCCAACUCUCCACUUUCUAUCACUUACAGCAUAGAAAUUGGUCAUUGUACCUCUUAGGAAACUGUUGACAAGUACUGAGUGUUUAAACUGAUGAAAAACUUGGUUUUUGUCUGGAAUGUAUUUAAUAGAAGACUUCAAAUAUACAUCUUGCUAGAACCACCUUUCAAGAGGUCGAGGAAAAAAGCUAUUCCAAAUUGCCUGUAGCCACGGUGUGUUUACUGAUAGGACCACUUAAAGGGAAAGGGGAUAUCUAGUCAGUUGUACAACUGAAAUAUGUCUUCCGCAUUUAACCCAACCCCUUAAUCGACAUACACAUCUUAGGCGCUUGGGGAACAAUGGGUUAACUGCAUUGCAUUCUGCGUUGCAGAAUGACAGACCUUUACCUUGUCAGCUCGGGGAUUCGAUCCAGCAACCUUUUCGGGUACUGGCCCAACGCUCUAACCAUUGCAAACUAUAUUUAAUGCACUUUUAAUAUAAUAUUUGUUGCCGAGUCAAUGCAUAAACCAGGGACAUCUGUAAAGUCAAAAUUGGAAACGGGAUUGAAAUAGCUUUGAGUCAGUGUGUCCCUCCUGUCAACAAGAUGCAGCUUUAGUAACUAAGAUAUUGAAAUAUUUCCAGAUCAGUUAUUAAUAUUGUACUACCAAAUGACAGAUGUUUUGUUGAUAUCUUGAGAUUGAACAUGUGCUGCACAGUAAAAACAUUGUUAUUCUAGUCAACUUUUCAAUUAGAAAGUAGUUACUUUGACACUACAGUGUUAUUUAAAGGAAACAUAUUCACUUCCUCAAUGCUCUUUAUUAAAGAGUGUUUAGAUCAUGUGGUUGCAUUGUGUGUUCAGUCAGAUGUCUGUUAGAAGGAGGAAGUCAGUUCAGUCUCAAAGAUUUAUCACAGCUCUGAGGAUGACGAGGAUUGUUGCCUGUCUGUUCUGUGUCUUAAAACUGUGUGUUGGAGUUGAGGCUUUGACAGAGACACUGGUAGAACUUGGACACAAUGCAACACUGAACUGUUCUCUUAAUAAUGUGAUAAUAACUGAUGCACAUUGGUACCUACAUCGCCAACCACAGCCUCCACUGGCCAUACUCCGCUCUUUCACUAGUAGGAGUCCUGCUGCUUUUUAUUACAAUAAUAAUUAUAGACAGAAAUAUUCAUUAGAAACGGGACAUAGAUUGUUAAUACAGAAUGUAACAGUAGAUGAUUGUGGAGUGUAUUACUGUGCAAAGAAAGAAAACGAUAGUUUCCUUUUCAGUAACGGCACCAGACUCAUGACCCCUGUUGAUCCUGAAGCAACAGAGCAACCCAGAGACUUCAACACAACAUGGCUAAAGGGUCUUCUCAUUGGAUCCGGUGUCUUGAAUGCAGUGCUCAUUUUAUUGGUGUCGGCCAUUUCAGUGCUGUGGAAGAGAGCUGCUUGCCAGAAGAACCAUGACUCUCCUCCAACCCCUGAACCACCUGAAAGGACAGACAGUCUAGAGUAUGAAGUGAUACAGCUGGUACCCCAAGCGAGAGGACUAAGGCCCGACCACAUAGCCUCAACUAUUUACUCAAGAGUCCAGUUUCCAAAUCAUGAACUCACAACUACUACUUAAUAAGGUGCCAAAUCUUGACUUUGAUGGAUAAUGUGAACUAGAAAAUGACUUUGGUAGAUAAAGUGAAUCUACUCUGAAUAUUCAUAUUUUUGUGUAAUGUAUUUAGUGGUGCUCUUCGUCUAUAUACCAGUCAGCAAUAUCUUUGAAGGAAAUUAUUACUUUUGUCUUGAUUCAUGUUUUUCAUUUUUCAUUGCUGGAAAUAAGUUCAUAUUUGCCUGUCUUGAAAGUAAACUGUUACUUUUUUUGUGAAGCAGUUAGGAAGAGGUUUGUGCAUUUCUGUAGAAAAAGCCCCCAAGCCUUUUGUAGUGUAUUGAUGCUGCAACAACCACACAUAUCCUGUUUGAGAGCUUAGCUACAUGUCCCAAUUACUGUACAAUAAACAAUUUUUGAUGACUUGUACAAGCUUUCAAUUAGUUAAUUAGAAAGCCUACUUCAUGUGCCCCAUAACACCUUUCUCAGUAGAAGGUAGUGUCGCAACUUCUGCAGAGGUCGGUCCCUCUCCUUGUUCGGGCGGCGUUCGGUGGUUGAAGUCACCGGUCUUCUAGCCAUCGUCGCUCCACCUUUCAUUUUCCAUUUAUUUUGUCUUUUUUACCUGGUUCACAUUCCCUCAUCAGAUUAAAUGUAUAUUACCAUCUGUUUCCCCCAUGUCUGUGUGUGGAAUUGUUCUUUGUGUAGGGUGUUACGCUACAGGCUGGCUUGCGCUAGGUUUGUUUCAAACCUAGGUUUGUUUGUUUUGUUUAACCCGGUUCCCGUGGUUGUGCUUUGUGCUGCCUCGCCUGUGCCUUUGGGCCAGGGUGUAUAUUAAAGUUCACCUGUUAUGCUCUCCUGCGCCUGACUUCCCGGCAACCAGUCACUCACCCCGUUACAGGUAGUGGUUUCUAUAUUUUAGUUGUUUAAGUUCAGACCACUAUAAGAAAGGUAAUGUCAGUGUAUUGCACUUUUUUCAAACAUUAUCUCAUUGUUCACUUCAUGGAAAAAAUAAAGCUAGAAUCAUUAAUUGAAACAAUAACAAAGUGGCCUCAAUUUUGGUAAAAAGCUGAGGGAUGGGCCUGGAAAUAUGUAACCACUCACAUUCGUAGACAGAACUAUGGUCAGAUCAUCCAAGAUAUCAACAUUAGAGUUUUAACCAUGCUUUGAGGCUACACAGUGUUUGUUUAUAUUUUGUGUUCUGAUGGGGUAGGACAUUUGACCAAGAUCAUAAGGCAUAUAUAAGUUAUAUUCCUCAAGAAUCAAUAUGUAUAUCGUUAAUUUAUAAUAAUAGUCCCUAAAUGGAAGAAACGACUAAGGAUUCUAGCUUCAAUACCAGGUAGAGGGGCUGUUUUCAAUAGGUUUUCUUGCUCUGCAUAAUGAGAAUGUGGCUUUUAUACCGGAGAUGAAUUGACACUCACCACUUCCUCUUUGCACAGACUUGCGCUUCAUGUGGAAACUUUAAGCAAGUUAACAAUGACCCGCAUCAUUGUAUUGUUUUUUUUCAUCACUUUUUUAAGUUUGAACUUAACUUAAGUAAAGUUAAUCUUGAAACUAGCAAUCCCGGAUCCGGGAUCGUAAUCAUAGCCUCAAACGAAUUUGCAUAACGCAGCGGACAUAAAUACCCCUAGAAACUUUUCCUGUUCAUGAAAAUCGCAAAUGAAAUGAAUUAAAUAUAUUCAAACACAAAUAAGAAAAGCAACCAAAUUAAAUAAUUUACCUUUGAAGAACUUCAGAUGCUUUCACUCAGGAGACUCCCAGUUAGAUAGCAAAUGUUCCUUUUUUCCAAAAAUAUUAUUUUUGUAGGCGAAAUAGCUCCCGUUUGUUCAUCAUGCUUGGCUGAGAAAUCGACCGGAAAAUGCUACCACUACAAUGCCAAACCUUUUUCAAAAUUUGCUCCAUAAUAUCGACAGAAACACGGCAAACGUUGUUUAGGAUCCAUCCUCAAGGUGUUUUUAAGAUAUUCGAUAAUAUAUCCGUCAAGGCAAUUGGUUUCUCAUAAGAAGCGAUUGGAAAAAUGGCUACCUCAGUAACCACGAGCACAACCGUUCCUUGAUUUUAACUGGCGGCUUUAUUCUGAGAUUUUCUGCGGGAGACACCAUGUGACCACUUGCUAUAUAUGGUCCCUUACGGCUAUUCUUCAAUGGAAAUGCGUAAAAAGACGUCACAAUGCUGUAGACACCUUGGGGAAUACGUGGAAAACGUAAGCUCAUUCGUAGCUCAUUCACAGCCAUAUAAGGAAUCAUUGGCAUGAGUCGGUUUCAAAAAAUGCGGCACUUCCUGGUUGGAUUUUUAUCUGGGUUUCGCCUGUAACAUCAGUUCUGUGGCACUCACAGACACUAUCUUUGCAGUUUUGGAAACGUCAGAGUGUUUUCUAUCCAAAGCUGUCAAUUAUAUGCAUAGUCGAGCAUCUUUUCGUGACAAAAUAUCUUGUUUAAAACGGGAACGUUUUUCAUCCAAAACUUUUAAUAGCGCCCCCUAAUGCUUAACUGGUAUUCCACUAGUAAUGAAAGCUAACUGACCAUAAAGACACACCUAUAUGAAAGGGGGGAGGGUCAAUAAA